AUUGAACGCUGGCGGCAGGCCUAACACAUGCAAGUCGAACGAGUGGCGGACGGGUGAGUAAUGUCUGGGAAACUGCCCGUUGGAGGGGGAUCACUACUGGAAACGGUAGCUAAUACCGCAUACCAUCGGAUGUGCCCAGAUGGGAUGGGCUUGUAGGUGAGGUAACGGCUCACCUAGGCGACGAUCCCCAGCUGGUCUGAGAGGAUGACCAGACACACUGGAACGGAGACACGGUCCAGCAUCCGACGGGAGGCAGCAGUGGGGAAUAUUGCACAAUGGGCGCAAGCCUGAUGCAGCCAUGCCGCGUGUGUGAAGAAGGCGUUCGGGUUGUAAAGUACUGUCAGCGGGGAGGCGUUACCCGAAGAAGAAGCACCGGCUAACUCCGUGCCAGCCGCCGCGGUAAUAC
rnacentral:rRNA from 1 species